UACGGGGGGAGCAAGCGUUGUUCGGAUUUACUGGGCGUAAAGGGCGUGCAGGCGGCCAAGUAAGCGUUUUGUGAAAUCCCCCGGCUCAACCGGGGAAUUGCUUGACGAACUGCUUGGCUCGAGGGAGGUAGGGGCAACUGGAACUCUGGGUGGAGCGGUGAAAUGCGUAGAUAUCCAGGGGAACGCCGGUGGAGAAAUCGGGUUGCUGGGCCUUACCUGACGCUGAGGCGCGAAAGCCAGGGGAGCGAUCCGG
rnacentral:rRNA from 1 species